rnacentral:misc_RNA from 1 species
GAUAUUCUUGCUUUUGCUAUUCCUCUUUCUGUCAUUUUUCUGGGUUCUUGAUGACCAGUGAAAAUGAGUCAACUCAGUGUACAUGUAAUAUUGCAGGAAUCUGCCCGGAGUGAAAGAUAAGUGAGAACGAUUCUUGGGUUGCUGAGGCAGCAAAUGGAAGGUGUACAUGGGAGAAGGAGAAAAACGAGGAUGAGUCUAAAGGAACGCCUAGGAUUGAGAGGCUUG